AUCCACAGGUAAGAGGGGAGGAAAGCGAAAGCAGUUGUUUCUGAAUACUGUUAUUCUUGUUCUUUGGAUUGGAUGAUGCAUCAGUGAAUGAGUGAAAUUUUCAGUGCUUUAAUAAUGUUCCUUUCUUUUUAGAGGUGAUUUGAUGAACUGUUAAGCAAAGUUCUUACUUGUAUAAACACAUUUAAUCAUUUAACUACAAACUAAUGAAAUUGAAAAGUUUUUUGCAAUUUGACUUGUAUUGUUACAUCAAUGUGGCAACAAAUGAAACAUUGCACUCAAGGGAAGAUAUGUUGGGCUACGUGACAUACGAACGUUGGGCCAAUCAACCUGUCCCGGCCCUCCGACCAAUACAGUCGUUAGUUUAUUGUACUCGUUGUAGGAAAAUUGGACACCAGGCACAUCAGAGUGGAUUCUAAUUGUCAUCUGUCAUAAUUUUGAGGACCUGAGAUAAGCAUAAUAGAGGCAAUGCUCCAUCAUGUACUAAAACUACACGGGCAUCAAAAGUCCAUGGCGAUUGUGGGCGUCAUACUCAAAUCAACCACAACGGCUGCACUGCUAUGUAGCCCUCUGUGCCUGUCCAGGCUCUCCUCCCCCAUAAGAAAGUGCAGGUGCAGGAGAAGGUGUUUGUGCAGUUAUUGGAUACAGUGCAUUGAUUGCCUGAAAGUUAGAAUAAUACAAUGUGAGUUGUGGGAAUUCUUGACAGAAACGGGUGGAUGAAUGGAAAAUGAUGCGAACCUUAACAUAUUUUUCAGAGAAUCCACACUAAUGUUUCUGUUGUCCAAUGCUCCUACAACGAGUACAAUGAACUAAUGGUUGUGUUGGUCGGAGGGCUUGUAGUGAUACAUAUGAAGAAUGAUAAAAAAAGACAACCAGCUUUUCAAGAUGUAUAGGAGAGCUGAGGUGAUACAAAUGGAAAAAAAAGUAAUUGUUUAAGGAGUUGAAAACCAGCCGGGGCAGUUCGAUUGGCCCGACGUUCAUAUGCCACAUAGCGCAACAUAUCCUCCCUUGAGUAAAAUAUUUCAUUUGUUGCCGUAUUGAUGUAAUGGCUGUAUUGAUGUAAUGCUACAAGUCGCAUUGCAAAAACAUUCCAGUUUCAUCAGUUUGUAGCUAAAUGAUUCUGAAGUGUCUGGUUUCUUAUAUGGUAUGUAAAUGUGCAAAUUGCACAUAGCAGUUUAUACAAGUAAGAACUUGACUAACA